rnacentral:rRNA from 1 species
GAUGAACGCUGGCGGCGUGCCUAAUACAUGCAAGUCGAGCGAAUGGAUUAAGAGCUUGCUCUUAUGAAGUUAGCGGCGGACGGGUGAGUAACACGUGGGUAACCUGCCCAUAAGACUGGGAUAACUCCGGGAAACCGGGGCUAAUACCGGAUAACAUUUUGAACCGCAUGGUUCGAAAUUGAAAGGCGGCUUCGGCUGGCACUUCUGUAUGGACCCGCGUCGCAUUAGCUAGUUGGUGAGGUAACGACUCAACAAGGCAACGAUGCGUAGCCGACCUGAGAGGGUGAUCGGCCACACGGGGAAUGAGACACGGCCCAGCCUCCUACGGGAGGCAGCAGUAGGGAAUCAUCCGCAAUGGACGAAAGUCUGACGGAGCAACGCCGCGUGAGUGAUAGAGGCUUUCGGGUCGUAAAACUCUGUUGUUAGGGAAGAACAAGUGCUAGUUGAAUAAGCUGGCACCUUGACGGUACCUAACCAGAAAGCCACGGCUAACUACGUGCCAGCAGCCGCCGUAA